UACAGAGGGGGCAAGCGUUGUUCGGAAUUACUGGGCGUAAAGGGCGUGUAGGCGGUUUUCUAAGUCAGGCGUGAAAUCCCCCGGCUUAACCUGGGAACUGCGUCUGAUACUGGGAGGCUUGAGUAUGGGAGAGGGAUGUAGAAUUCCAGGUGUAGCGGUGAAAUGCGUAGAUAUCUGGAGGAAUACCGGUGGCGAAGGCGGCAUCCUGGACCAUUACUGACGCUUAGGCGCGAAAGCUAGGGGAGCGAACCGG
rnacentral:rRNA from 1 species